CUAACGGCGUGCCUCGGCAUC
rnacentral:siRNA from 1 species